rnacentral:rRNA from 1 species
GACGUAGGGCGCGAGCGUUGUCCGGAUUUAUUGGGCGUAAAGAGCUCGUAGGCGGCUUGUUGCGUCGGCUGUGAAAACCCAUGGCUCAACCGUGGGCUUGCAGCCGAUACGGGCAGGCUAGAGUUCGGUAGGGGAGACUGGAAUUCCUGGUGUAGCGGUGGAAUGCGCAGAUAUCAGGAGGAACACCGAUGGCGAAGGCAGGUCUCUGGGCCAUUACUGACACUGAGAAGCAAAAGCAUGGGGAGCGAACAGG